rnacentral:rRNA from 1 species
UACGUAGGGUGCAAGCGUUGUCCGGAAUUAUUGGGCGUAAAGAGCUCGUAGGCGGUUUGUCGCGUCUGCUGUGAAAACCCGAGGCUCAACCUCGGGCCUGCAGUGGGUACGGGCAGACUAGAGUGCGGUAGGGGAGACUGGAAUUCCUGGUGUAGCGGUGAAAUGCGCAGAUAUCAGGAGGAACACCGGUGGCGAAGGCGGGUCUCUGGGCAGUAACUG